rnacentral:rRNA from 1 species
AGUGAACGCUGGCGGUAGGCCUAACACAUGCGAGUCGAACGGCAGCACAGUAAGAGCUUGCUCUUACGGGUGGCGAGUGGCGGACGGGUGAGGAAUACAUCGGAAUCUACUUUUUCGUGGGGGAUAACGUAGGGAAACUUACGCUAAUACCGCAUACGACCUACGGGUGAAAGCAGGGGAUCUUCGGACCUUGCGCGAUUGAAUGAGCCGAUGUCGGAUUAGCUAGUUGGCGGGGUAAAGGCCCACCAAGGCGACGAUCCGUAGCUGGUCUGAGAGGAUGAUCAGCCACACUGGAACUGAGACACGGUCCAGCCUCCUACGGGAGGCAGCAGUGGGGAAUAUUGGACAAUGGGCGCAAGCCUGAUCCAGCCAUACCGCGUGGGUGAAGAAGGCCUUCGGGUUGUAAAGCCCUUUUGUUGGGAAAGAAAAGCAGCAGGUUAAUACCCCGCUGUUCUGACGGUACCCAAAGAAUAAGCACCGGCUAACUUCGU